AGUCGUAACAAGGUUUCCGUAGGUGAACCUGCGGAAGGAUCAUUACCGAGUGAGGGCCCUCUGGGUCCAACCUCCCACCCGUGUUUAUUUUACCUUGUUGCUUCGGCGGGCCCGCCUUAACUGGCCGCCGGGGGGCUUACGCCCCCGGGCCCGCGCCCGCCGAAGACACCCUCGAACUCUGUCUGAAGAUUGUAGUCUGAGUGAAAAUAUAAAUUAUUUAAAACUUUCAACAACGGAUCUCUUGGUUCCGGCAUCGAUGAAGAACGCAGCGAAAUGCGAUACGUAAUGUGAAUUGCAAAUUCAGUGAAUCAUCGAGUCUUUGAACGCACAUUGCGCCCCCUGGUAUUCCGGGGGGCAUGCCUGUCCGAGCGUCAUUUCUGCCCUCAAGCACGGCUUGUGUGUUGGGCCCCGUCCUCCGAUCCCGGGGGACGGGCCCGAAAGGCAGCGGCGGCACCGCGUCCGGUCCUCGAGCGUAUGGGGCUUUGUCACCCGCUCUGUAGGCCCGGCCGGCGCUUGCCGAUCAACCCAAAUUUUUAUCCAGGUUGACCUCGGAUCAGGUAGGGAUACCCGCUGAACUUAAGCAUAUCAAUAA
rnacentral:misc_RNA from 1 species